rnacentral:lncRNA from 1 species
AAUAAUAUUGAAUACAAUUGUUUCUACACCAAGAACACCAUAAAUAAAAUAGAGUUGAUAGAAUCCUUAAAGAAAUGAAAAAGACAAUGUUGUAUGAUAGUCAUCUACUUAAAUGAUUUCUGUUAAAAGCUAUCAUCAUUGCUUGUCAUACAUAUGGUUUCUAUUAGAAAACUCCUUUUGAUCUUCUAAAAAAUAGAAAAUGAUAUAUUGUAUAUUUUUUAUAUUUUUCAGUCAUACAUGUCAUGCUUGAUAUUUUCUUAUGAAAAUAAUGUCAAAUCUGAUAAAACAAAUAUUUCUUUGGAUAUUACUCUUCAAGCAAUGCAUAUAGAAUAUUCAAUGAAAAGAUACUAGUUGUAGAG